rnacentral:lncRNA from 1 species
GAGGCAGGAGAAUCGCUUGAGCCCGGGAGGUGGAGCUUGCAGUGAGCCGAGAUCGCGCCACUGCACUCCAGCCUGGGCGACAGAGCGAGACUCAUCUCAAAAAGAAAAAAAAAAAAGAAUAAAGACAGAGUUUGACUUUCCCACCUGCGAACAAGUGGACUGUACUGCUUUGCCCACAGUCUCCAUUCCCCAUUCAUGCUGUUUUCACAGCCCAGUAAUGGCCAACUGCUCAGCACCUGUGUGCCCUGCUGUCAGGCAGGUGGGACCCACAGUCCUCUGGGCCUAAACUGCUGAAGCCUGCACCACAAGGCGGGCACGGCAUUCCAACACCUCUUCAGGCUCAACAGCCUUUAGAGGCUACACUGAGUCCUCUUUUUCAUGCUCUUCCUGGUUUUCAAGUGUCAAUUAAAAUUUGUCUUCAGAAGAAACUUGAAAAUAAGUAUCUGAUGCCGUCAUCAGGAUAGACUAGUAUUAGCUUUCGCAGCUGAAGUUAUUGCUCUCCCAGCCCUAAUAAUAACUUACCAAGUGCUUAUUAUUUAUCAGGCACUGGUCCAAGUCCUUCAAUCAGAUUGUCUCACCUGAUCCUCCCAACAGCCCUAGGAAGCAGGUCUUACUACACUCCCCAUUUCACAGGGACUGGGGCUUGGGGAGGUGAUGCGGUUUCCUGGGUCACUCCAUUACUGAGUAGUGAGACAGGAUUCAGACGCAAGCUUUGAAAAUGUUCUAAUUUUCUUUAGAAGGAAGGGCCCUUCUUAAUAGCACACUGAAUAAAAUCAAAUGAAUAAUCACACAUUACAAGAUGCCUCCUAUACGUCUCUAUAUUUAGCUACUUACAUACCAGGUUUCUUUUUUGUUUGUUUUUGUUUUUAAGACAGAGUCUCGCUCUGUCACCCAGGCUGGAGUGCGGUGGCGCGAUCUCGGCUCACUGCAAUCUCUGCCUCCCAGGUUCAAGCGACUCUCCCGCCUCAGCCUCUGCAGUAGCUUAGGGACUACAGGUGCGUGCCACCAUGCCAGGCUAAUUUUUGUGUUUUUAGUAGAGACACGGUUUCGCCAUUUUGGCCAGGCUGGUCUCAAACUCCUGACCUCAGGUGAUCCACCCGCCUUGGCCUCCCAAAGUGCUGGGAUUACAGGUGUGAGCCACCGUGCCCGGCCUACACACCAGCUUUCUAUUCACCUACACACAACUGAUGCUCUUUUGGAGUGGAGAGUUUUAGUAAAAUAUGAUGGGGUCUUCAGGCACCUGAGUUGCUACUUACUACUAUGAGAAGAUAGAAAAUGUUUUUUCCUCUAAACAGCUUUUGAAAGAAUGAAUGCACAACAAGGCAAAAAAUAAAAACUUUCUUUUCCUUUUCUACGAUCAAUGUUCAACAACUCGUUCCUUCCAAUUUGUAACAGAGUUGAAGCUGAAACAGACAAAAAAUAGUAAUAGCUGCUCCCAUUUAAAGAAAAAUGCUUGAGGAAACAGCUGUAUAAAUCAAGAAACAAUACCAAGCAGAUGACGAAACUGAUCUCUUCUUGAGAACGUAAGCAUGUUAGCUCAUUCGUGACUCAAAGUCAUGUAAUAAUAGUUGACAUAUACCACUUUUCACAUACAUUAUCGCUUCCAGUCUUCACGCACAUCUAUUGUUCCUGCUUGAGAAAUGAGGAAACUGAGGCUCAGGUUGAAGACUUGCCCAUGGCUCACGUAUCUGUCACAGUCACUUUCCAAAAAGCAAAUCUGAUCAGGUUCCCCACUCAGGUCCCCAAAUCUGAAUCCAUCCUACCUCUCACCCUCGGCUUAAAAUCUUCCAAACAAU